UACGUAGGGUGCGAGCGUUGUCCGGAAUUAUUGGGCGUAAAGAGCUCGUAGGCGGUGUGUCACGUCGGCCGUGAAAACCUGCAGCUUAACUGUGGGCGUGCGGUCGAUACGGGCAUCACUGGAGUUCGGCAGGGGAGACUGGAAUUCCUGGUGUAGCGGUGAAAUGCGUAGAUAUCAGGAGGAACACCGGUGGUGUAGACGGCUCUCUGGACCGUAACUGACGCUGAGACACGAAAGCGUGGGUAGCAAACAGG
rnacentral:rRNA from 1 species